rnacentral:misc_RNA from 1 species
GAUGAAGAACGUAGCGAAAUGCGAUAAGUAAUGUGAAUUGCAGAAUUCAGUGAAUCAUCGAAUCUUUGAACGCACAUUGCGCCCGCCAGCAUUCUGGCGGGCAUGCCUGUUCGAGCGUCAUUUCAACCCUCAAGCUCUGCUUGGUGUUGGGGCCCUACGGUUGACGUAGGCCCUUAAAGGUAGUGGCGGACCCUCUCGGAGCCUCCUUUGCGUAGUAACUAACGUCUCGCAUUGGGAUUCGGAGGGACUCUUGCCGUAAAACCCCCAAAUUUUCUAAUGGUUGACCUCGGAUCAGGUAGGAAUACCCGCUGAACUUAAGCAUAUCAAAAGCGGAGGA